rnacentral:rRNA from 1 species
AGUGAACGCUGGCGGUAGGCCUAACACAUGCAAGUCGAACGGCAGCACAGUAAGAGCUUGCUCUUACGGGUGGCGAGUGGCGGACGGGUGAGGAAUACAUCGGAAUCUACUUUUUCGUGGGGGAUAACGUAGGGAAACUUACGCUAAUACCGCAUACGACCUACGGGUGAAAGCAGGGGAUCUUCGGACCUUGCGCGAUCGAAUGAGCCGAUGUCGGAUUAGCUAGUUGGCGGGGUAAAGGCCCACCAAGGCGACGAUCCGUAGCUGGUCUGAGAGGAUGAUCAGCCACACUGGAACUGAGACACGGUCCAGACUCCUACGGGAGGCAGCAGUGGGGAAUAUUGGACAAAGGGCGCAAGCCUGAUCCAGCCAUACCGCGUGGGUGAAGAAGGCCUUCGGGUUGUAAAGCCCUUUUGUUGGGAAAGAAAAGCAGCAGGUUAAUACCCCGCUGUUCUGACGGUACCCAAAGAAUAAGCACCGGCUAACUUCGUG